UCAGAGAACAAGUUAAGGCUCCCAAAUGUGUAACCUUGGGCAGUCAGUACCUUAACCUUAAAGUGCUUAGCCGGCUAUGUCAGAGACCAGGGCUAAACAGCCCCAAACAAGCCCUGAAUGGAGGUACAGCGGGCGGUGGAGGGGAAGUCCGGCUGCAGGGACCUGUAUUGGCACCCGGCAUCCAUGAGACAGCCAGCCUCUGCAGGAGACCCUCCGCCCGCAGGGACCCUUACUACUGCAAGUGUCCUCCUCCUGCUGGAGGAACCUUACAGUGGCUCACAUCUAAAGGACAGCCAGGCAAGUAGGCAACAUCUGAGACGCUCCAUGCUAGACUGGCCAGAGGAAAGUGGAGAGGCGGAAUGCAGUGUGGGAAACUCUUAUCCAGUGGGUCACAACGCACACACAAAGACUUGAGCUUCUUUUCAGGUGCUAAUGGGAAGUAUCCUGUCCAGGUAGACGAAGCUGACCUUGAACUCACGGGGAUCCACUUGUCUCUCCCUCCUAACUGCUGGGAUUAAAGACAGCCUGACCUAGAACUCACUUAUGUAGUCCAGGCUGAUCUAGAUCCUGUGGAAAUCUCCCUGCUCCACCCUCCGAAAGGCUGGGAUCAUGUGUGAGCCAUCAUCUGUCACAGAAUAAUAUUUUUCUAAAAUAAAAGUUACCUCAAAUUAAUUUUUCAAUUUGUUCUAAUUCAGAAGAAAACUUUUUAAAAUCACCUUGGACUGAAGGCUAGCAGCAGUGUAUGUAACAAGAUUUCAUUGGCCUUGAAUUGCAUCUACCCUUGGGGAGUGGAGACAAACAGGCACCUUGGGAUUUGACUAGUAAACGUGUUGUGCCAGGUAAUGUUCAUGAUUCCCCCCAAAAGACCGCUAAGGAGCCAAAUCUGAGGCAAUGGCAUUAGGGUCUCUUUAUUCAAACUCGGUUUUGGGCCACAUUACAAUCUCUGACGAAAUAGAGGGUGUAACCCCAAGCCCCCGUUUCAGGCAAGCAUUUAUAGAGGCAAGAAGGGGGACAGCUAACCUGGUAUACAUCUGAUUAGGGG